GCCAACCCAGGGAAGCUCAGGUGAAUGCAAUGUACCUGAGUGCCCAGAAGGGGUGUAGCCAGGAUCUACCUCUUCCCAGACCUCAUUUAAGGGUCAUUGGCAGUGGAAGCAAGGGUACCUUGCUGGAGAUCCCUGCCUACCUUAGGCCUUUUGAAGCCUUUCAGUUUCAUUAAGUUAAUAGCCUUCAUCAAGGGCCCAGGCCGGAUGCUUGCAGUUGAUUUAAAACCUGUGAAUUCAUCAAUCUUAAACUGCACUUCAAGCAAAGCAAAGAAAUCUUUGCUGUUCUUUAGAGACUUCUGGGAUUCUUCUUUGACACUGAACUUCUAUGGAGUUUCAAUCCUGGGCCCAGGAGCAAACAAGAUCCAAGAGAAACCUGGGACAGUGCCAAGCAUACCAACAACAUAAAAUGCAUGCUUUUUGAUUGGACUCGGGCCCUUGUACUGUCACAUUUGGGUCAGCAGUCCAAAUCAAGAGGAUGUGCUUCUGCUGAUGAGCUCUGCCCUAAUUUGACUGAGAGCGAUCGUUUCUGACUUCUUGAGUUCUGCAAGUCCCUAUGCCUAACUGGAUCACUGAGACAGAGCUCACUUCUUGCAGCCCAGCAAAGUCCUUCCUGUCAACUCUGAGCCAUUUCAGUACUCGUGCAGAAGCUUGAACUGCCACUAACAAUAACAGGAAUAUUAAAGAAGACA